GACGAACGCUGGCGGCGUGCUUAACACAUGCAAGUCGAACGGUGAAGCGCCUUCCUUUUUGGUGGGUGUGGAUGAGUGGCGAACGGGUGAGUAACACGUGAGUAACCUGCCCCCUUCUUCUGGAUAACCGCAUGAAAGUGUGGCUAAUACGGGAUAUUCUGGGUCUGCCGCAUGAUGGGUCUGGGAAAGAUAUUGUUUCGGUGGGGGAUGGUCUCGCGGCCUAUCAGCUUGUUGGUGGGGUGAUGGCCUACCAAGGCGGUGAGGGGUAGCCGGCCUGAGAGGGGGGGUGGACACACGAGAAGGGAGGAAAGGGCGAGACACAUACGGGAGGCAGCAGUGGGGGGGAUAGGUCAAAGGGCGAGAGCCUGAUGGAGCCAGGCCCCGUGUGUGAGGAAGGGCGGCGGAUGGUAGAGAACCUUAUGUUGGGAGGAAGGGCAGUAAGUUAAUUUGUUGGGGUGUUGACGGUACCAACAGAAAAAGCACCGGCUAACUUCGUG
rnacentral:rRNA from 1 species